UACGGAGGGGGCUAGCGUUGUUCGGAAUUACUGGGCGUAAAGCGCACGUAGGCGGCUUUGUAAGUUAGAGGUGAAAGCCCGGGGCUCAACUCCGGAAUUGCCUUUAAGACUGCAUCGCUAGAAUUGUGGAGAGGUAAGUGGAAUUCCGAGUGUAGAGGUGAAAUUCGUAGAUAUUCGGAAGAACACCAGUGGCGAAGGCGACUUACUGGACACAUAUUGACGCUGAGGUGCGAAAGCGUGGGGGGCGAACAGG
rnacentral:rRNA from 1 species